UACGUAGGGUGCGAGCGUUGUCCGGAAUUACUGGGCGUAAGGAGCUCGUAGGUGGUUUGUCGCGUUGUCCGUGAAAACUCACAGCUUAACUGUGGGCGUGCGGGCGAUACGGGCAGACUGGAGUACUGCAGGGGAGACUGGAAUUCCUGGUGUAGCGGUGAAAUGCGCAGAUAUCAGGAGGAACACCGGUGGCGAAGGCGGGUCUCUGGGCCGAUACUGACGCUGAGGAGCGAAAGCGUGGGGAGCGAACAGG
rnacentral:rRNA from 1 species